rnacentral:rRNA from 1 species
CGACCGCUGGCGGCGUGCUUACCACAUGCAAGUCGACCGGAAAGGCCCCUUUGGGGGUACUCGAGUGGCGAACGGGUGAGUAACACGUGAGUAACCUGCCCUUGACUUCGGGAUAACUUCAGGAAACUGGGGCUAAUACCGGAUAGGAAUCCUUGCUGCAUGGUGGGGGUUGGAAAGCUUCGGCGGUUUUGGAUGGACUCGCGGCUUAUCAGCUUGUUGGUGGGGUAGUGGCUUACCAAGGCUUUGACGGGUAGCCGGCCUGAGAGGGCGACCGGCCACAUUGGGACUGAGAUACGGCCCAGACUCCUACGGGAGGCAGCAGUGGGGAAUAUUGCACAAUGGGCGGAAGCCUGAUGCAGCAACGCCGCGUGCGGGAUGACGGCCUUCAGGUUGUAAACCGCUUUCAGCAGGGGCGAAGCUUGUGGUGACGGUACCUGCAGAAGAAGCACCGGCUAACUACGUG